AAUGAUUGUGAGUCUACAUGCAUAUGAAACAAUAAUUUUACUGCACAUAUUCAUUUUUUUCUUGCAUACGGCUGUAUUUUUCUUGCUUUAGCAGGGAUCUUGACCUUAAAGUUGAGGGUUUUUGAAGAGUCGCCUUGGAGAAGAUGUCGAUGAACUGUAGUUUGCUUAUUUUUGUAUUUCUUGUUUUAUUUUUUAUCUCGUUCUGUAAUAAUGUUGUGGUAACUCUAACUCUCUAAUAUUAUAUGAAAUGUAUUUGGGGGAUCGCCUAAGGGAAAGGGUGAUUUAUGUGCUAAUUGCUACUUAUGUUGAGUCUAUUUGUGUCGCGAUAAUAACUGGCCCAUAAAACUGUUUUAACAUGUUAGAUUAAAACAUAGUUUAUCACAUGCUAAAUAACUAAUGGAAUAAAUAUGCUAUUUGCCUUAUUAACGCCUUAGACUAUUAUGCAAGCAUGCUAGAAAAUAUCAAAUGAAUAAAUUGCAUAAUUAAUCUCAUUCAUUAACUCUAUUGAAAUCACUUACCUUCGAAUCAAUUUGUUAAUAUUUUAUUAUUGUUAUAUCCUAUUGUCUAACCUAAUUUAACAAAUCUCGUAUGUGAGCAUGUAAUUAAGCCUGUCCAUACUUAGAAUUAUUCCCGUAGGAAUUACUUCAGCAUUUUAAUUAAGCAGUUGUUGUUAAUAAUACACUAGUCUCAGCAUGUUAAUGAAAUUAAAAGGAGUAAAAUCUGAAUCAUUUAAAUAUCGAUCUGUCCUAAUUGCUAUAUGUUAACGCGAGUUUUAAUUUCCAGCAUGCGCACACUUAGAUAUCAUGCCUAUAGGAGCUAUAUAAUUUUCAAUCUUUCACACUUAGAAAUCAUGCUCAUAGGGCCUAACUAAUAACAUCGUGGUAUUUAAAUAUUUUAAGGAAUUUCAGCAUGUUUUAAUAACUUAAGCUGAUUAGUUUACUAAUCUAGUUCAAUUAACUUUAGAUGGCUAGAUAAAUUUCAGCAUGGUAAUCAGUUGAUUUAAUGUUAAUCACUUAGAUAUCAUGUCUAUAGGCUCGUGAUUUUUUUUUCUGCAUGUUAAUAUCAUUAGAAGAAUUAAAAUCUGUCUUAAUUUGCUGGCUGCCCUAAUUAAAUUUUGUUUGAUAAUUAUUUUUGCAUUUAAGCAUUUUUAUGGCACUUAAAAUCAACCAUUUUUUUUUUUGCAUGAACUUGUUACUAUAAAUAUUACCUUAAUUAUAAAUCUGCUCGAAUUAUCAACUCUCGCAUUAAUCAACUAUUGCUUAAAAUAAGCUGAUUCAUUUUAGUAUGUUAAUUAAUAGCAAUCUAAUUCGUUACUGCCCUAAAAAAUAUUUCGGCAUUUGCAAUAACUUUUUUGCCACUUUUAACAUCAGUCCAUUAUUAUUUCUGUACUUGUAACAAUUUGCUGCUUCCCUUAAUUAAAUAAUUAUGUUGUCAAUACAUGUUUGUAUGCACACACACUUAGCAUGAAUCCUUUCACUCCAUUUGUAUCUGCUAGCAUGAUAAAAAAAAUCUAGAGGCCAACUUGAGAUUUUACGUGCUACAUGAAGGUUCUAUUUGUUUGACUUGAUGUCCAGGUGGGCCUAUUAUAUUUUGUUUUGUCUACACCCACCAUAAUAGUAGUCCAAUGCCUCUUGAACCUUAAGCGAGGAAGUUAGACACUUUUUAAAGACGUAAAGCAUGCGGUGGCGGGGUAGGGGUAGUUUAGGCCCUAUGAAUAUGAUGACAUUGACUCAGGCUUAAAGCGACAAACUUCGGUUUUGUCAGUCCCUACACGAAAGCCUAUAAUAAAAAAAUAAAGUCGAGUGCUGAUCUUAAAGUCCUUCAGAGUUUCCCUUUCCUUCUCCCUUUAAUAUGAUUAUAAUAAUUAUAUGUAUUUGGAGUAGUUUAAUAAAAAAUAAAAAAUUGAUUAGCCUAGUUGAUUUUGUAAUUUCUGUCUUCUCGCUUAUCUUCUAUAAAUGUUUCAUGUUUAAUAUAUAUUUAAUGUUAUCACUUAGCUUUUCCUGUUUAAAUUAAAUAAUAAAUAAAUAAAUUGAUUUUAAUUGUUUAAUAUUAGUUAGCAAUCAUGUUUAAUAAAUAACUAGUAAAAUGAAGUGACCUUAUUUGCUAUUUGUAACCCCUACAUAAAUUGUAUGAGAUACGGUCGGGAUCCACAUUUGUGGACCUCGAGGAAUGCCUAAUACCUUCCCCUCGAGGUAAUUUUAACCCUUACCCGAUCUCUGGUUCGUUGACCUUAGUUAGAUUUAUCUAGGUUAGAUAGGUGUCCUAACGCGCCUUAAUUUGUUAGGUGACAACUCUUCAAUCCUCCAAAGCCAAAAGAGUUGUUAGGUCGUGCAUUCAAAAGGAAGGUCCGUUUUGCGAAAAACGGGGCGCGACAGAAUGGCGACUCUGCUGGGGAUAUUAGGUUCUAACCAUUACGUGUUUCGUGCUUAUGUGGGGUUUACUUUAUCUGUCAUUUCAUUGUUUGUAUGGUUAUUGCCAUGUCUAAUUAAGUUUUACUUUCCUUGUUUACUCUCUUUUCUUAAAUAUUGUUAUUUCCAUGUUUAGUCCUUUUCCCUCUCCCUUAUUGUUUAUUUUCAUGUUUCACCCUUUUCCCUUUUCCCUUAUUUGGAUAUUUUCAUGUUUAAUCUCAUACCUUUUUUCUUAUUUGCCUGAUUAUUCAAUAUUUGUCUAUUCAUUUCCUUUUACUUUUGCAUGUAUUUAUUUACUCGCUUAUUUACCACUUUUCAUAAACUGUUUAUGUGUUACUAUUUUCCAUCUAAGUGUUAAAUGUUACUGCUUUGAUAAAUUGUCAUUCCGCUCAUACUUCCCUCAAUUGGGACCCUAUUCUUUUUUUUUAUUUUGUUACCGUGAUGUUGUGCCUUUGCACCUCUCACAACUACUCUAUUUCUCUUCAAAUAUCCAAUUAUAGAGAGUCGGCAUAUGCGUGGACGGAACGGAUAGUUUUACUACCGAGAAACCACGAGCCUUCUAGCAUAGAAUCCUUUUCAAGUCCGUGUCAGGCCAACUUUUAGAAAUCUUAGUUAGGUGAUACAUGAUGCAUAAGCCAUAGGUCGUUUGACCCUUGGCGUCAUUUCACAUAAUUAGUAGCCACCUUAUCGUCUAAGGGGCCCCAACACCCUUUAGACAAAUUGCAUAAUUAUGUGUCAAUGUGAUCACGUUGAUUAAAUUAAGCCAAACUUUGCCAAAAUGGAGUUUAGAAAUUGUUUGUUGUUUUAUUUGCAGAGUCAUGGAUGCUUUCAACUCCCCAAAACCGCAAAUGGUCGUAGAUGUAAACUAUAAGCUAAGGAGCUGGUGGAUUGAUCUUAAGAGGGAUCGCGAAAGAGAGAUUCGUCAACUGUUGGGCGGUCUUACCUACCUCAUCUUUGUCAUACCAAACCUGACCUGAUUAGGGCCUUGCUAGAAUUUUGGGACCCUGUGAGGAUGGUCUUCAAAUUUGUAGAUUUUUGACUUGGCACCAACGAUUGAAGAGAUAAGUGGUUUCAUCGACCUGCCAUACCACGAGUGUGAAAUGAUGGUACCCUAUAAGCCAUCAUCGAGGGAGUUUCUAAAAAGUCUGGGAAUGAAGUCAAAUCCAACUUUGCUUUCUCUAGACCUUGGGUGGAUUCAUUUCGACUUUCUGUAUUCACGUUUUGGCUAAGAUGAUAGUUAUUACUCUUUUAUUGAUGAGUUCGAAUGCUCCAUCGAGGAAUGGGAAACAUAUCGCCUAAAUGCCUUUGCCAUUGCCCUAUUAGGAUCCCUGGUUUUUCCUUAGAUAAGGGGAAAGAUUGACACACGCUUGGGUUAUGUGGUUCGAGAUUUAGCCCCAAGAGAGGGCGAACCUAGGAAAACCCUAGUACCCAUGAUCUUGGCGGAAAUAAUGAGGAGUCUGUCAGCAUGCGUCGAUGGUCGAAUGUUUUUCGAGGGAUGCAACAUUUUGCUGCAAUUAUGGGCUAUUGAACACUUCUACAUAUGCUCUGACGCGAUAGACAUCUUUCUUGGUUAUGGCAACAAGAUUGGUAAUCAUCCAAGAAGAAUGUUAGCUUUCACCGCCCCCGCAGGAUUCGUGGACUGGCAAAUAUUUUUGACAGAACUCGAGAGUCGCCACAUCAAUGGAAGCUCCAUUGCUUGUCCACCCUUCAUGUAAUAGUAAGAGGCGAUGACCGAUACUUCGUUGAGCUUAUUGGCUUAAAUGGCGUUCAACCAUACACUCCUCUUCGAGUACUUCGCCAAUUUGGGCGAACUCAGGUAAUACCACUCCGGUAUGACAUGGAGCAGUUAAAGUAUGAAUUUGGAUUAGAUAAACCACAAGUCCACAACAUACUUCGAAGAUGGGAGCGGGUGUUGACCAUUCCUAUGGGUGCACUUAUGCACACGUGAGUAUUACAUAUGGAUCCUAAAGGAGGUCAAAGACAGAGAAGUGAGUGGGGAAGGAUACUAUGGGCUCACUGAUGAAAGGGAAAACAUAUGGGCACGCAACGUAUUGAAGAUCAAGAAUGAAGUCACUCCCUAUACAAGAAGUCAAUUGGCGCCAAGCUCUUGGAACCAAUAUCUUCAAGAUUUUCAGAAUUUAGGAUGACUUUUCCCAUUUGUUACCCCUUUCCCUUAGUUUAUUUCAGUUUUUUGUUUUCCAAUUAUUAUGUUUUGUUUGGAUUUUAUAAUAAAUAAAGUUUGUUUAUUUCCUUUAAUCUAACUCCAAUUGGCAAAUAAGGCUUGAUUAAUUAUUGUGCAUCACUUAUAUGUCGUCUUAGGCCUACCUCUGGCUCAACGAGGCUCCUUGCAUUUAGGGCGUUUAUCUUAAAGUAGUGUGCUUUCUUUCUCAAUUAAUGCAACACUCUAACUUGGGUUUUCUUUUNNNNNNNNNNNNNNNNNNNNNNNNNNNNNNNNNNNNNNNNNNNNNNNNNNNNNNNNNNNNNNNNNNNNNNNNNNNNUGAGAAGGUUAUGAGUAAGACUAUUGAAAAGAAGCAUCCUUUAGAGGAGUUGGACUAAAGCCUGAAAAAGAAAAUAAGGGAAUUAGAAGAAGAAGUGUCUGAUAUGCGCGGGUGGGCCAAGAUGUUACUCUCUGUCGAUCCCACUUUGGAGACAAACAUAGAUAAGUCGCCUAUCACUAGUCAAGCCACUCUCCAAGAUAAUCCUCCACUCACCCUAUUUCUCAUCCUCCACCAACUUACCCCACUUCUCAAAAUCAACCAAGCUCCAUUCAAAUGCCUCCAAAGAACACUCACUUUCCAAAUUACCCAUAUCCUCCUCAACAUCAUGCUUAUGCUUCCAGACCUCCAUAUCUUACUUCGAGUCUGCCGAGUCCUCCCUUACAAGCUCCUCAAUAUCAAACACCUCUACACCAAGUCCCUUGGUAUUGUGCGCCGCUCAUACCAUAUCAAAUCCCUUCAUAACAAAUGCCUCCAUAUCAAAAGCCUAUUUAUCCUGUUCACAAUGUCAAAAUCCUCACCCAAAAACAUAUUCGCAAAAAUCUAUUCAAUGUUGAGAAAAGGCCCAUCAAAUUUUACACUCCUUUGACGGAGCCUAUAGAUCAAUUCUAUGAAAAGUUGAGGCUUGCUGGUCACAUCGAUCCUAUCAGUGAAAUAAGUAUGAUUACACGUGCAAGGUGGAUUGAACGCUCUAAGGUUUCCGCUUGUCACUCAGGGAUGAAAGGACAUACCAUAGAAGAAUGUCGUGAUCUGAAAGACAAGAUUCAGCAAUUGAUUGAUACCAAGAUCAUAUGCUUGGAAGACUUUGCACCAAAGAAAUCCCAACAGAAAACAUGUUGAAGGUCAUUUGAAGCACUUUCCAAUAAAAGCUUAUGCCAUUUAAGCUUAAGUUCUCUACAUUCAUGUUUCGUCAAGUUCUGACAAGGAAGGUACCCAUGUUAGUAUAUGGGCAAUAAAGUUUGGUCAAAAUCUAUCUUUUGGUUGUGGCUAUAUGCUUUGUUUAAUGUCUUGAAUUAGGAUCUCUGUAUUUGGAACUACGUCAGACCUGAUUCCCGUUUAAGAGGGAAUACGUAGGCGCUCCUAUGGAGUUCGGUCUUAUCAUAAUAAAAAAUUCCAUUUUCCCUUUUGACUGCUAACUGGGGCAGAAUUUUUGAGAGGGUCUCAAAAUUUCCAUCAGAAAGACAUUUUCUUGCAAGUGAUGAUAUUGAAGCAGAAUUUUCUGCAGGGAACUCAAAAUUCCUGCAAAAGCAUUUCGUCGCACAAAUUAAUAACUGGGGCAGAAUUUUUGAAAGGGUUUCAAAAAUUCCUUCAAAAACAUAUUUUGUUGCAAAUCAAGACUAGGAUAAAAAUUUGAGAGGAUCUCAAAAUUUCACAACAAUCAAGCUACAGUCUACGUCCAAAAUCAGAAAUUCUACACUGGGGCAGAAAAUUUUGAGGAGGACCUCAAAAUUUUCGACAACAUUACAAAGGACCUACGAGCAGACAUUAGAGGAGCAUAUUAUGCUGAAUCAGGGAUAUAGAUCAACCUCCCCUUUAACUAAUUAUUUUUCUUUGAAUGCAGAAAAGACAGGUACAUAUACAAGAAGCAACUUCAACACCACUUGAAGGAUCAAUGUGUCGAUAUAUCCGACAAUUUGCUAAUCAAUGGUAUUAUGUCCUUUCAAUAGGAAGAGUGAUGAAGCUACAUUAUUCAGAGCUCGAAAAUCACCAACAAAAGACACGUUGACAUUCCAACAAUGGGAAGGACCAAACUACUCUAUACUGAGCCCUAAUCGCUAAUAAACGGCGCCCUAUCCUUCUGACAAGAUAAAAGGACCAAGCUAUUUUGACCCCGACAAUUGCAGAUUAAUGGUACCCUACCCUUCCAAUCAGACAAAAGGAUCAAAAUACUCCAUAUCAAGCCCGACAAAUCAACAUUCAACUACACCCACUCCUUACAAUAGGACGAAGGGUCAAAGCUACAAUAUUCCGAAUUCGUCAACAAAUGACACUCAAUCCUUUCAAUAAGGCGAAAGUCUAUGCCUCCAAUCAACUAUUGCAUGUGCCCGAAGAUUGCAUUAUGCCCGAUAUUGCAUGUGCCCGAGAAUNNNNNNNNNNNNNNNNNNNNNNNNNNNNNNNNNNNNNNNNNNNNNNNNNNNNNNNNNNNNNNNNNNNNNNNNNNNNNNNNNNNNNNNNNNNNNNNNNNNNNNNNNNNNNNNNNNNNNNNNNNNNNNNNNNNNNNNNNNNNNNNNNNNNNNNNNNNNNNNNNNNNNNNNNNNNNNNNNNGCCCGAAAACUAUAUUAUGCCCGGAGAUUACAUUGUGCUCGAGAUUGCAUUUGUGCCCGAGGAUUACAUUAUUACAUGUGCCCGAGAAUUGCAUGUGCCCGAGAUUGCAUUGUGCCCGAUAUUGCAUGUGCCCGAGAUUGCAUUCUGCUCGAGAUUGCAUUGUGCCAGAGAUCUGCAUGUGCCCGAGAAUUAUAUCAUCUGCAUGUGCCCGAGAUUGCAUUGUUCNNNNNNNNNNNNNNNNNNNNNNNNNNNNNNNNNNNNNNNNNNNNNNNNNNNNNNNNNNNNNNNNNNNNNNNNNNNNNNNNNNNNNNNNNNNNNNNNNNNNCAAUUAAAUACGUCUUUUAAAAUAUGUCGAGUUUAAAGGUUUAGUCGAUUUUGUCUAAAAUUAUACAUUUUAAGUAUGCAUGCUUUAUAAAAUUAUCGUAAAUAUUAUUAAAAUAUUUCUAAAAUUAUCAGUAAAAACUCAAAAUAAUUAUUAUAUUAAAGUUUAAGUGAUUUUUAUUAUAUAAAAUGUUAUAAUAUUUUGUAAUACUUUAAUUUGAUAGCAUUUCUUUAAUUUCCCUCAAAAUCAUUUAAAUGUUAGCCUACUUUAAUCUAAUUUCUUUCAAUUCUAGUCACUUCAAUUCCAAUUUCAUUUCAAUAGUAGUCACCCUUUUCAUUUCAAUUCUAGCCAAUUUAUUGCAAUUUUAACCUUUCCAUAUCCAAUCCAAUCUGAUUUGUAGAUUUCAUCUCUUAAUCCUAACCGUCCAUCCUUUAAAUUAAAUCCUAGCCGCUCAUCUAAAUGGAUCCAAUGGUCCAGAUUUAUUAAGCCCUCCAUUCCUAUUUUAAUCUAAAGACUCCAACCCUAAAACAAUUUUCACUCUCUUCUUCCUCUCCUUUCUCUCUCUCUAUGCAGCCUCCCCUUCUCUCUCUCUCUCCCUCUCUUCUUCUCCGACGAAGGAGCAGCAACGCGAGGACCAGCAGGCACUGGCCGCCUCCGUUCCCUUUUUCUGGUGGACAACAGCAAUGACACUGCUCCAAGCAGCAACCAGCGGUGCUCCAUCGCUGGCAUCAGCUCCAGCUGGCGACAACAACAGCAACAGCUGCGACCAGGCAGCAGUUCCAGCCGGCAAGGACGAACAACAGCGAGCAGCAACCAACGGUACUCCAACUGGGCGGCAACAGCUCCGGCGAAGCCUUUUUCUCUAGAAAUUUUGAGUUUAUUUAAGACGGAUCUUGACAGAUCCGUCCAGGUUUGCUUCCUUUCCGAUUCAUUAUUUUAAUUUGUUUACCAUUUAUUAUUAUUAUUAUUAUUGGCUUGAUUAUGGAGUUCAUGAUUCCGAGACAUGCGAUUAUUUUGUGUAGAGAAUCGUUAAUCAUUAGGGAAUUUCACAUAGUCUUUGUUGCUUUCUGAAUUCCUAAAUUGAUGUCUUCGAUUAAAAUUGCAUUGUAUUAUGAUACUCGUUCAAAUUUGCUGGAUCUGUUGAUUUUCCUUGAUGUUCUCUUGUUUGCCAUCUUUAGAUUGUGGCGAUUUGUUUUAUUAUGGUAUUUAGUAUUAGUAGAAUUAGUGAUCAAAUCUUCCUUUUUCUCAAUUAUCUCUAUUAUUUUCCCUUUUUCUCAAUUAUCUCCAUUAUUUUCCUUUUCUCUUAUUGUUUUAACUAUGACAUUAUUGAUUCAGUGGUAUAUUUAUUGGUGCUAGUGUCUUGAGUAUAUAAAUUUAGAUGGCAAGUAUAUAUUAGAAUAUGCUAACUUAUCACUAUUAUAACUUAUUGUGGGCUGCAUAUUUAUUUUCUUUCCUUUAAGGUAGUCGUCCCACUUUUACUUGAUUUUAUUUUAUUGCAUUAUUUUCUGCUAAUUGAUUCAUGUUGCCUUAAUUAAAAUUGACAGAUUCUUAUUUGUUUAUAUUUGGUUAAAUAAAUCUGUUUUGAUUUCCUUUUGCAUAAGGAAAAUAUUUUAAGUGAUCCCUCUUCCCUUAAUUACAUAUUAGACUUUGAUUCCUUACUUACUUAUUUUAGGAAAAUUAAUUUUACAGAUUUAGCUCUCUUUGUUAAGGAAAUCUUGUGAUCUGUAAUUGCUCCUCAUUAAUUAUUUUUCCUUUGGCAUGAUCCCUCCCUAACUAUAAAAAGAGACAUCCCCUCAUUAUUUUAGGGGCAGACAUUCGAACAAGAAAAAAGAAAGAAAGAAGAAAAUACUCUCUACUAAAAAGAAUUAAGUGCUUUCGGUUAAAACAAAAGUUCCUCUCUGUGUUGCUAUUUUGCUGUGUUCGGGUCGUUUUCGGAUUAAGUAUAGGUCUUCAUUGCUGAUCAUUAUAUUUUGCGUAAUCGGUUAGUUCUAUUCCACUAGUUUGUUUGUUUUUUGUUUCACAUAUGCUAUUUUUAAUGUUGUGUAUGAAUAAAAUAAAAAGGAGGCAUCCGGGUUAGUUCUCUUCACCCAUCUCUUCUAUGUGAUAUAUUUGUGUGUUUUGCUUAAAUGAUUGUGAGUCUACAUGCAUAUGAAACAAUAAUUUUACUGCGCAUAUUCAUUUUUUCUUGCAUACGGAUGUAUUUUUCUUGCUUUAGCAGGGAUCUUGACCUUAAGUUGAGGGUUUUGAAGAGUCGCCUUGGAGAAGAUGUCGAUGAACUUUAGUUUGCUUAUUUUUGUAUUUCUGUUCUAUUUUUUAUCUCGUUCUGUAAUAAUGUUGUGGUAACUCUAACUCUCUAAUAUUAUAUGAAAUGUAUUUGGUGGAUCGUCUAUAGGG
rnacentral:lncRNA from 1 species